AUCCGUCUGGUACGGAGAAAGUCGACCUGAAUAGCGAAACAGAAACAUCGACCUGGAUACCAAAAUAAAUGGAAACACAGGGAUAACCAUGGCCUGAACACCACAUAUCCGCUGGGGAUUAUCAUCUCUCUCUCUUCUUUUUUUUUUUACUUUUUCUUGAACCCCGAAAUUUCCCUCUUUUUUGUUUUCUUUUCUUUUUCAUUUUCUUGAACCCCGAAAUUUUCUUUCGCGCAAAUGAUCCCGGAUCAUUGCAUUUGAACCCCGACAUCUCGUUUGCCCAAAAUAAUGAACCUCAUUCUCCAUUUGAACCCCAGUCGCCUGACGAUAACUUGUGAUCGCCAUUGUGAACCCC
rnacentral:lncRNA from 1 species